rnacentral:rRNA from 1 species
UAGAUGCGAGAGUAGAGCAUAUCAAUAAGCGGAGGAAAAGAAACUAACAAGGAUUCCCUUAGUAACGGCGAGUGAAGCGGGAAGAGCUCAAAUUUGAAAUCUUCAAGGUUCUACCUUGACGAAUUGUAGUUUAAGAGAAGUGUUUUCUGUUAGAUGAGUAGCAAAAGUUCCUUGGAAUGGGACAUCAUAGAGGGUGAGAAUCCCGUAUUUGGUUAUUCAUUCUAGCUUUGUGAUACACUUUCAAAGAGUCGGAUUGUUUGGGAAUGCAGUCCAAAAUGGGUGGUAAAUUUCAUCUAAAGCUAAAUAUUGGCGAGAGACCGAUAGCGAACAAGUACCGUGAGGGAAAGAUGAAAAGAACUUUGAAAAGAGAGUUAAACAGUACGUGAAAUUGUCAAAAGGGAAGCGUUUGACACCAGUGUUGUUUUUCCGAAAAUCAAUUACGAAUGGCUUGAUUUUGUGUUGUAUUGACCUUAUCAGCUUUCUGCACUUUUUUCGAGUCUUUCUUAAUGCACUUUUCGGUUAACAAGUCAACAUCAAUUUCUUUUGUUGUAAAAGAGUAUUCGGAAGGUGGCUUUCUUUUCGGAGAAAGUGUUUAUAGCCCUAUACUUCUACAAUCGGAGAGAUUGAGGUCUGCAGCGUAGAUCCUUCGGGGUUAGAUACACUUUGUGCUAAGUUGUAGCUUUUCAUAGACAACUUGUUGACUAUGUUUAGUCAUGCGGCUUACUCGCUUGUGCUAUUUUACCUACGCUUAGGAUGUUGAGCGCAUGUCUCUCUCU